rnacentral:tRNA from 1 species
CCCCGCAUAGUGUACCGGCGCGCACGAUUCUCUGUCGAAGAAUUAGAACGGGUUCGACUCCCGUUGCGGGGAC